rnacentral:rRNA from 1 species
GAUGAACGCUAGCGGCAGGCUUAACACAUGCAAGUCGAGGGGUAUAGUUCUUCGGAAUUAGAGACCGGCGCACGGGUGCGUAACGCGUAUGCAAUCUACCUUUCACAGAGGGAUAGCCCCAGAGAAAUUUGGAUUAAUACCUCAUAGUAUAGCAGUUUCGCAUGAAACCACUAUUAAAGUCACAACGGUGAAAGAUGAGCAUGCGUCCCAUUAGCUAGUUGGUAAGGUAACGGCUUACCAAGGCAACGAUGGGUAGGGGUCCUGAGAGGGAGAUCCCCCACACUGGUACUGAGACACGGACCAGACUCCUACGGGAGGCAGCAGUGAGGAAUAUUGGACAAUGGGCGCAAGCCUGAUCCAGCCAUGCCGCGUGCAGGAUGACGGUCCUAUGGAUUGUAAACUGCUUAUAUAACAGGAAGAAACACUACUUCGUGAAGUAGCUUGACGUACUGUAAGAAUAAGGAAUCGGCUAACUCCGUGCCA